GGGGCUGUAGCUCAGUGGUAGAGAGCUUGCCUAGCAUGUAUGAGGCACUGGGUUCGAUCCUCACCUCAGCACCA
rnacentral:tRNA from 1 species